ACCCCGAAAUGCCGGGAGCACAUGCCCCACCGUCCUUAUCCAAAUCUACUCCCUCAAGUUCAUUAUGGAGAUUCAGACCAACAAGUUGUACUCUUACGUAAUUCCAUCCAUUUAUUUAUCAUCGAAUGGACUGUUCAUCAUAACAAGAUUCAUUUUAAAAAUCAAGUGAAUAAAUUUAAUUUACCACGAGGGAGCAGCAACGCCCUGUCUUUCGGAAAGAAGCGCGUCUAUACUCCGUUAACCCGCUGGCUACUGCGAUGUUGGCUCCUAGAAGGAGGUUCAAGCCAGAAAGUUCCAGAUUUUGCAGAAUCAUUCCCCUCGGAUAAAGUGAGAAAAGACAACACAAAACUGGUCAGGGAUUUAUAUCAAUAAAUAAAAGUCAUAUCAAGUAAUUAGUCACCCUGUCGUCGUGGUGACCAGGCUGCGUGUGUGCGUAUGAAAGCCUCUCCGCUUUUAAAAUGGGAACAUAAACAUGGGCUAGCAGGCAUUCACCCUAUGCUUCGGACUGCUGCCACUUGAGCAUGAUGAAUUGGUGGAGAAAUGUAAAUAAUGUACAGUGGUGCCUGCGGUUCACGAACGCUGUGACUUACGAACAAUUUGGUUCACGACCAAAAAUUUAGUGCGAAAAUGCAUCGGUUCGCGUACAAAAUUUGGCCGACGACCAGAUUCCUUUUUUUAUACUAGUGUAGUAGCGGCGGGGCGCAUAUCCCAGCAUGCCCCGCGUGCAAUUGUAAAUAGAAGGAUCGGAACAGGCACCCAAAGAGCAAUGAUCCCAAAUAAACAAACGGGAAACACAAGGUUGUAAGACGCCGAACUGCAAAAUGCACAUACGGUGGAAGAUUUACACACACUAAAUACACGCGAGGAUCGGACCGGGUACGUACAAGACACGGGACAGUAUGGAAAUGCAAUCAUUAACAUCAACAAUAUAAGGGUAAAGUACUGUUAAAGAUCGUGAUUUCCUCGGCAAGCAAGUCUCUAUGUCUCUCUCUGCUCCAGCGAUGCAUCAGUCCGCCCAUCCCACACUAUAUUGUGUUUUUCUUUAAAGUUUUUACUAUAAAAACCCGAAAAUUAAUUAACAAAAAUUAUUUGGUAGGCUUGUGAACGAAUUAAUCGACUUUCAAUGCUUUCUUAUGGGGAAAAUUCGCGUACAAAUUUCCUUGCAGGCACCACUGUACUACUAGGGCCAUGAACAAAAUGAAAUUCCGUGCUCCACCAGUAGAGGGCUAUUUGUUUAUCAUACUUCGGGAGUGAUUUCUUAAUAGGGGUUGUACAGUGGCUCGUUGAGUAGCUCUGUUGCCGUCCGUUUUACUGGGCUGGAGGGUUGAAUCCCACAUCUGCUGUGCUACGCAAGUUUUUUUUUUUUGAGUACUCUGGUUUCUUCUUACAGUUCAGAAAGAUGCAAUUUGGCUAAAUGACAUUUCGCUCGUAGUAGGUGAGUUUGUAUCUUUAAAUUGCAAUCCUGGCAUUCCAUUCAGUAUGUGCCCUAUGUUGUCUGGGAUAGGUUCCAGGCGUCCCCUUGACCCUGAAUAAGAUGGCUGCAUUUCCUAGCAUUUUUCAUGGUCACACAUCAUUACUUAUAAUAGUCCUAGUAACCAAACUGGCACAAUUUGGAGGAAUGGAGUGACAUUCUUUUUCAACUGUUCCACACUAUUAUUGACUUUGAAGUCAACUUUAUUUCUUUUACCCAAACAAUGCCAGACAGUCCAGAAUCACAUCCUGUCUUAGCAUUGUGUGUAAUAGCACAUCCACAGUGAACCAAUACAUUCAAUUCAAUUAUAUUAUAUUUGUAUUGUGUGUUUUCAUAACAUUACAUUGUCUCAAAGGACUUUACAGCAUUCUCACUGAAAUCACCCACUGAGCAAGCUAGAGGUGACAGUGGCAAGGAAAAACUCCCUAGAAGGAAGAAACCUUGGGAGGAACCAGAGUCAAAGGGGGAGCCCAUCCUCCAGGGGGCAGCAGAGGAAGCCCUAACCCUAACCAGAGUCAAAAGGGGAGCCCAUCCUCCAGGGGGCAGCAGAGGAAGCCCUAACCCUAACCAGACCCAAAGGGGGAGCCCAUCCUCCAGAAGGCAGCAGAGGAAGCCCUAACUCUAACCAGACCCAAAGGGGGAGCCCAUCCUCCAGGGGGCGGCAGAGGAAGCCCUAACCCUAACCAUAUUCCAUGGGGGAGCCCAUCCUCCAGGGGGCAGCAGAGGAAGCCCUAACCCUAACCAGACCCAAAGGGGAGCCCAUCCUCCAGGGGGCAGCAGAGGAAGCCCUAACCCUAAUCAGACCCAAAGGGGGAGCCCAUCCUCCAGAAGGCAGCAGAGGAAGCCCUAACCCUAACCAGACCCAAAGGGGGAGCCCAUCCUCCAGGGGGCAGCAGAGGAAGCCCUAACCCUAAUCAGACCCAAAGGGGGAGCCCAUCCGCCAAGGGGGCAGCAGAGGAAGCCCUAACCCUAACCAGACCCAAAGGGGGAGCCCAUCCUCCAGGGGGCAGCAGAGGAAGCCCUAACCCUAACCAGACCCAAAGGGGGAGCCCGUCCUCCAGGGGGCAGCAGAGGAAGCCCUAACCCUAAUCAGACCCAAAGGGGGAGCCCAUCCUCCAGGGGGCGGCAGAGGAAGCCCUAACCCAAACCAGACCCAAAGGGGGAGCCCAUCCUCCAGGGGGCGGCAGAGGAAGCCCUAACCCAAACCAGACCCAAAGGGGGAGCCCAUCCUCCAGGGGGCGGCAGAGGAAGCCCUAACCCUAACCAGACCCAAAGGGGGAGCCCAUCCUCCAGGGGGCAGCAGAGGAAGCCCUAACCCUAACCAGAGUCAAAGGGGAGCCCAUCCUCCAGGGGGCAGCAGAGGAAGCCCUAACCCUAACCAGACCCAAAGGGGAGCCCAUCCUCCAGGGGGCAGCAGAGGAAGCCCUAACCCUAACCAGAGUCAAAGGGGAGCCCAUCCUCCAGGGGGCAGCAGAGGAAGCCCUAACCCUAACCAGACCCAAAGGGGGAGCCCAUCCUCCAGGGGGCAGCAGAGGAAGCCCUAACCCUAACCAGACCCAAAGGGGAGCCCAUCCUCCAGGGGGCAGCAGAGGAAGCCCUAACCCUAACCAGACCCAAAGGGGAGCCCAUCCUCCAGGGGGCAGCAGAGGAAGCCCUAACCCUAACCAGACUCAAAGGGGGAGCCCAUCCUCCAGGGGGCAGCAGAGGAAGCCCUAACCCUAACCAGAAGCAAUGGGGGAGCCCAUCCUCCAGGGGGCAGCAGAGGAAGCCCUAACCCUAACCAGACCCAAAGGGGGAGCCCAUCCUCCAGGGGGCAGCAGAGGAAGCCCUAACCCUAACCAGAAGCAAUGGGGGAGCCCAUCCUCCAGGGGGCAGCAGAGGAAGCCCUAACCCUAACCAGACCCAAAGGGGAGCCCAUCCUCCAGGGGGCAGCAGAGGAAGUCGAAUGAGCAAAAUGGGGAAGUCCCACAUCACAUUUUCUCAAUCUUAACAUUUGAGUCUCAAAGGGACCAAACAGGUGAUAUCAGACAGUUUUUGGUGCUGCUUCAUAUUGCAGGACAAACAGUGGUACAGCAGCAGGGCAUGCAGGGAAGAUGUCAUGGGCAGAAGGGCAAACAGGCUGGAAUGACACCACAGGCAGUGGGGACGUCACAGGCAGCAGGGUAAACAGAAUAUCUUGAUAAUUAAAGAGUCUCCAGGCAGAACACCCCAGGAGGAGUAGGGGAAGUAAAAUGUGCAGUUAACCAAAGUAGGUGAGUGCAGUAUGUAAGCUCCGGCAAAUAAGGCUAUAGAGGCAUAAGUAGGAGGGAGAGGCAGGUGGGAAUGCAGGCAUGGGGAGUCCCUGAAAUGUCAGCCCUCCAAUUCCAGGAGGGAGUGUGAAGCUAGAGUGACAGACUGACAGUUCAGUUUAUCCAAAGUCAAUGGCACCGAUCUCCACCCAGCUCUACAGCUCACACUGUAGGCCUGACUGAGUAGAGCUAGAACUAGAGUCCCUAUAAGCUACACUAAACAAGUGUGUUUUUAGUCUAGACUUGAAUAUCAAGAGCAAGCCUGAAUCUCGCACAUCCACUGGGAGGCUAUUCCACAGCUGAGGAGCUCUAUAAGAGAAUGCUCUGCAGCCUGCCGUAGUUCCACCCUCGGUACUAAUAGAUCUAGACGGGCUUAUUUGUGUGUAGCCUGCAGCUGUGCUUGCUUUAAUUAAUGAAACAAAAAUGUGACUAAAAGUGACAAAAAAUACACAUCGGUUAACAACGGUCAUUUAAGUCUUUAAAAACAUUUGCGCUAAUGAUGUAAUUGUUGCCCCAUGCUGGACUGUACCUAGAAAUCUUGGGUCUGCUGACAGAAUGUUACUUUUGUUACCCCUGAGUGCAUGUGAGUUGCAGAUAUUUCCUACACUAAUAAAAGAAUGUCAAUUACACAGUGCAUAAUAAAAUGUUUAAUGUACUGGUGGUGAACCUUCCCACUUCCCAGAGGCUUGCUGCUGUUCUGGAGUUUGUUAUCAUAUUCAGCUUUAGUAGCUUUUGUGAUAACGGGAAUCUGUGUUUUUUCUGUGGGGUGUUAGGUGUUGUGCAAUUUUUGUAAUACUUUAUGCACAGAAACUGGAGAAUCACAAGAAAAUGUUCAAGUGAGUUUAGGAAGCCGAACUGUUUAAAUGCAAAAUGGGGAAUGAUGGCAAUACGGAUUAACUUACUCCGGUCCAGCCUGCAGUUUUGAAUUCUUUAGUCCCACAAAUAAGUGGGGGUCCACGGCACUUUCAUAUAGUUUGUACAAUGAGCUUAGUGACAGAACAAUGGCCGUAAUGAAAACAAAAGUCAGGGUAAAGUCCACACAUGUAAUGGACUUUUCCUUUAAGUCCACCUUACUGGAUUUAACUGAUUGGACUUUCUAAACAGCCAAGCCCACUUAAUUGGAAUUUUUUACCAUAUAAAAAUACUUAGCCGUCGCCUAAGCUGAUCUUGUUAUUUAUGCGUCUUCAGGGUUAAGCAGAAAGGCUUUGAUUGGCUUUUGGCUGUUCUUUAAGAGUUACUGGCAGCAGCCCAGCAAGCUCCGCAGCUGUUUCGGCCGCUCUCCACCCACAGCCCACUCCCUUAAGGCUCCCUGAGCUGAGGGGCUCCUAUUCAGCGCCCUGCAGAUUUUCCCACAGAAAGAAAAACAACUGUUUCGCUAUUGCUGCCAUUUUCUUCUUCCAUCCAAAGACUAACAUAGAAAAAUGGCCUCCAGGGUCAAAUACUGUCCCUUAUGACCUGAAGAGGAAAACAUCUCACAGGGUUUCUGCCACAGUUGACUGAGUAUUAUUCCAGACAUUUCUACAGUAAAAACCAAAACCUACAGACACAAAUUUGCUUCACGUGCUGUUUAGUUAUUGUUCUCCUAUUCAGAAAUGAGUAUAUUCCAGUAAACAGCAGUUAAAUAUGCGUCUUUCGGGUUAAGCAGAAAGGUUUGAUUGGCUCUCGGCUGAUCAUUAUAUUUUCAUUCAGUGCAGCAUGUGUAUGUCUCACCUAGUAGUGACCUGUCAUGUUUUGAAGAUGGACUGGCAAUGGAUAUUUGGUGACCCAUAGUCACUUUAGCUAAUGUAAGCUAAAUGAGUUCACUUAGUGAGGAACCAGUUCAGGAAUGCAUCCAUGGAAUGUAAAUUGUGCUAUUUUUAACUUAAAUUAAUUUGUUUUGCUAUCAAACCCAAACAGACACCUUGCUCAAUACCUCAAACCCCAACCUGCUGUUUAUUAGGAAAAACGUUUUUUAAAUUGAAGGUUAUUCUGUGACUGUAUGUGAGUCUCAGUCACAGUUUUUUGUAUUUUUUCUCUAUUUUUCAAAUACAUUUAUUUGAGCUUUUCUGUUAAAUAAAUGCAUUGUUUCAAGCGCUAAUAAAUGUAUCAAAGCC